rnacentral:rRNA from 1 species
AUUGAACGCUGGCGGCAGGCCUAACACAUGCAAGUCGAACGAGUGGCGGACGGGUGAGUAAUGUCUGGGAAACUGCCUGACGGAGGGGGAUAACUACUGGAAACGGUAGCUAAUACCGCAUACCAUCAGAUGUGCCCAGGUGGGAUGAGCUUGUUGGUGGGGUAACGGCUCACCAAGGCGACGCUCCCUAGCUGGUCUGAGAGGAUGACCAGCCACACUGGAACUGAGACACGGUCCAGACUCCUACGGGAGGCAGCAGUAGGGAAUAUUGCACAAUGGGCGCAAGUCUGAUGCAGCCAUGCCGCGUGAAUGAAGAAGGCCUUCGGGUUGUAAAGUACUUUCAUCGGGGAAGCGUUACCCGCAGAGAAAGCACCGGCUAACUCCGUGCCAGCAGCCGCGGUAAUUC